rnacentral:rRNA from 1 species
UACGAAGGGGGGCUAGCGUUGUUCGGAAUUACUGGGCGUAAAGCGCGCGCAGGCGGCCAUUCAAGUCAGGGGGUGAAAGCCCAGAGCUCAACUCUGGAACUGCCCUUGAAACUGUAUGGCUUGAGUAUGAGAGAGGUGAGUGGAAUUCCCAGUGUAGAGGUGAAAUGCGCAGAUAUCGGGAGGAACACCGGUGGCGAAGGCGGCUCUCUGGGCCCGUCCUGACGCUCAUGCGCGAAAAGCUAGGGGGAGCAAACAGG